rnacentral:lncRNA from 1 species
UCUCAGUAAUUGGGCGUGCCACUAAGCUUUUUUAAUUGCCUGCGUCUUUCCUGUAGGUCAUCAGCUCCAUGAGCUCCCUCUCUGAGUACUGCCUACCUUCCAUUCUGCGAACGUUAUUUGAUUGGUACAAAAGGCAAAAUGGCAUUGAGGAUGAAUCACAUGAAUACAGACCAAGAACAAGCAAUAAAUCAAAAAGUGAUGAACAGCAGCGAGAUUAUUUAAUGGAAAGACGAGACCUCGCCAUUGAUUUUAUUUUUUCCUUAGUAUUAAUAGAAGUUUUGAAACAGAUUCCACUACAUCCUGUAAUAGACAGUUUAAUACACGAUGUUAUUAACUUGGCUUUCAAGCACUUUAAAUACAAAGAAGGGUACCUCGGUCCUAACACUGGCAAUAUGCACAUUGUGGCCGACCUGUAUGCAGAAGUCAUUGGAGUGUUGGCACAAGCUAAAUUCCCUGCUGUCAAGAAAAAAUUUAUGGCAGAACUAAAAGAAUUACGGCACAAAGAACAGAGCCCAUAUGUGGUACAAAGCAUUAUCAGCUUGAUAAUGGGGAUGAAAUUCUUUCGAAUAAAGAUGUAUCCAGUGGAGGACUUCGAGGCCUCUCUUCAGUUUAUGCAGGAAUGUGCACAUUAUUUCCUUGAGGUCAAAGACAAAGAUAUCAAACAUGCGUUGGCUGGACUUUUUGUGGAAAUCCUCGUCCCAGUUGCUGCUGCUGUUAAAAAUGAAGUAAAUGUUCCCUGCCUCAGAAACUUUGUGGAAAGCCUAUAUGAUACCACCCUGGAACUUUCUUCUCGAAAGAAGCAUUCCUUGGCUUUGUACCCCCUGGUGACCUGUCUGCUCUGCGUCAGUCAGAAGCAGCUGUUCCUGAACAGAUGGCAUGUGUUCCUCAACAACUGCUUAUCUAACCUGAAGAAUAAAGACCCCAAGAUGGCUCGAGUUGCCCUGGAAUCACUUUACAGACUACUUUGGGUUUACAUGAUUCGAAUUAAAUGUGAAAGCAACACAGCUACUCAGAGCCGACUUAUAAGCAUCAUCACAACACUUUUCCCCAAAGGGUCCCGUGGUGUGGUGCCGAGGGAUAUGCCUCUGAACAUCUUUGUGAAAAUAAUCCAGUUCAUUGCCCAGGAACGUUUAGAUUUUGCAAUGAAAGAAAUCAUUUUUGAUUUUCUUUGUGUAGGAAAACCAGCCAAAGCUUUCAGUCUGAAUCCAGAGAGAAUGAACAUUGGUUUGAGGGCAUUCUUGGUCAUAGCUGAUAGCUUGCAGCAGAAGGAUGGUGAACCUCCCAUGCCGGUGACAGGAGCUGUACUCCCUUCUGGAAACACGUUGAGAGUAAAGAAAACAUAUUUGAGUAAAACGUUAACUGAAGAGGAAGCCAAAAUGAUAGGCAUGUCCUUAUAUUACUCUCAAGUAAGAAAAGCUGUGGACAACAUUUUAAGGCACCUUGAUAAAGAAGUAGGACGCUGUAUGAUGCUAACUAACGUCCAGAUGUUAAACAAAGAACCCGAAGACAUGAUCACGGGUGAGAGAAAGCCAAAAAUAGAUCUUUUCAGGACCUGUGUUGCUGCUAUUCCUCGGCUACUUCCUGAUGGGAUGUCAAAACUUGAACUUAUUGACUUGCUGGCCAGGCUGUCAAUUCACAUGGAUGACGAACUGCGGCACAUUGCACAGAAUUCUCUCCAGGGUUUGCUCGUUGACUUCUCGGACUGGAGAGAAGACGUUCUCUUUGGUUUUACCAACUUCCUGCUGCGGGAAGUAAAUGAUAUGCACCACACACUGCUGGAUUCAUCCCUGAAGUUGCUGCUGCAGCUGCUCACCCAGUGGAAGCUGGUCAUUCAGACUCAAGGCAGAGUCUAUGAGCAAGGGAACAAAAUUAGAAAUUCAGAGCUCAUCCCAAAUGGCUCCAGCCACAGAGCUCAGUCAGAGCGAGGCCCUCACUGCAGCGUCCUCCAUGCUGUAGAAGGGUUUGCACUGGUUUUACUCUGCAGCUUCCAGGUGGCCACACGCAAACUGUCCGUGUUAAUACUCAAGGAAAUUCGAGCUCUCUUUGUUGCCCUGGGUCAGCCCGAGGACGAUGACAGGCCAAUGAUCGACGUCAUGGAUCAGCUCAGUUCUUCCAUUCUCGAAAGUUUUAUUCACGUAGCAGUUUCGGAUUCAGCAACAUUAUCACUGACCCACAAUGUGGAUCUGCAGUGGCUGGUGGAAUGGAAUGCUGUCCUGGUCAAUAGCCAUUAUGAUGUGAAGAGCCCUUCCCACGUCUGGAUAUUUGCACAGUCGGUCAAAGACCCCUGGGUCCUCUGCCUCUUCAGCUUCCUUCGGCAGGAGAACCUGCCCAAGCACUGCCCCACAGCCCUCAGCUACGCCUGGCCUUAUGCCUUCACUCGGCUCCAGUCUGUGAUGCCAUUGGUUGACCCCAACAGCCCAAUUAAUGCCAAGAAAACCAGCACUGCGGGCAGCGGAGACAACUAUGUUACUUUGUGGAGAAAUUACCUUAUUCUCUGUUUUGGAGUCGCAAAACCCAGUAUUAUGAGCCCAGGACACUUAAGAGCUUCCACUCCCGAAAUAAUGGCUACCACACCCGAUGGUACAGUGAGCUACGAUAACAAGGCCAUAGGCACCGCAUCAGUGGGAGUUCUGUUAAAGCAAUUGGUGCCCUUGAUGAGACUAGAGAGCAUUGAGAUCACAGAGUCCUUAGUUUUAGGAUUUGGAAGAACAAAUUCUCUUGUUUUCAGAGAAUUGGUUGAAGAACUUCAUCCAUUAAUGAAAGAGGCACUAGAAAGAAGACCAGAGAACAAGAAACGCAGAGAAAGGCGAGACUUGCUAAGGCUACAGCUGCUUCGAAUUUUUGAACUUCUGGCUGAUGCUGGUGUCAUAAGUGACAGCACAAAUGGAGCCUUAGAACGAGAUACGUUAGCCCUUGGAGCUUUGUUCUUAGAAUACGUGGACUUGACCCGCAUGCUCCUAGAAGCUGAAAAUGACAAGGAAGUCGAAAUCCUUAAAGAUAUCCGGGCACAUUUUAGUGCCAUGGUGGCCAACUUGAUCCAGUGUGUUCCAGUUCACCACAGAAGAUUUCUCUUCCCCCAGCAAAGCCUGAGGCACCAUCUCUUCAUCCUGUUCAGCCAGUGGGCAGGCCCCUUCAGCAUUAUGUUCACUCCUCUGGAUCGGUACAGCGACAGGAAUCAUCAGAUUACAAGAUACCAAUAUUGUGCUUUAAAGGCAAUGUCAGCAGUCUUGUGUUGCGGCCCUGUUUUUGAUAACGUGGGUCUUUCCCCAGAUGGCUACCUAUAUAAGUGGCUGGACAACAUUCUGGCUUGUCAAGAUUUACGAGUUCAUCAGCUUGGCUGCGAAGUCGUUGUCUUGCUAUUGGAACUUAAUCCUGACCAAAUCAACCUUUUCAAUUGGGCCAUUGACCGAUGUUACACAGGUUCCUACCAACUUGCAUCUGGUUGCUUCAAAGCCAUAGCAACUGUGUGUGGAAGCAGGAACUAUCCCUUCGACAUAGUGACAUUGUUAAACCUUGUUCUAUUCAAGGCCUCUGACACCAACAGAGAGAUCUAUGAAAUCUCCAUGCAGCUGAUGCAGAUCCUUGAAGCAAAGCUUUUUGUAUACUCAAAGAAAGUCUCCGAACAAAGACCUGGCAGUAUUCUCUACGGGACACACGGCCCACUGCCACCCCUCUACAGCAUGUCACUGGCUCUCUUGUCCAGUGAACUGGCCCGGAUGUACCCUGAGCUCACUCUCCCACUCUUCUCAGAGGUCAGCCAGCGAUUCCCCACAACGCACCCAAAUGGGCGUCAGAUCAUGCUCACUUACCUGCUGCCCUGGCUGCACAACAUUGAGCUGGUGGACAGCAGGCUCCUCCUUCCAGGGUCAAGCCCCAGCAGCCCGGAUGAUGAAGUCAAGGACCGGGAAGGAGAAGCGACCGCCUCUCACGGACUGAAAGGGAAUGGCUGGGGCUCUCCGGAAGCUACAUUACUGGUCCUGAAUAACCUCAUGUACAUGACAGCCAAGUAUGGGGAUGAAGUUCCUGGACCGGAAAUGGAAAAUGCUUGGAAUGCAUUAGCCAACAACGAGAAAUGGAGCAACAACCUAAGGAUCACCUUGCAGUUCCUGAUCAGUCUGUGCGGGGUCAGCAGUGACACCAUACUCUUGCCCUACAUUAAAAAGGUGGCAGUAUACUUAUGCCGUAACAACACCAUUCAAACCAUGGAAGAGCUUCUCUUUGAGCUUCAGCAGACCGAGCCAGUGAACCCCAUAGUCCAGCACUGUGACAACCCACCUUUCUACCGCUUCACGGCUAGCAGCAAGGCCUCUGCAGCAGCUUCCGGAACCACCUCCAGCAGCAAUACAGUGGUUGCCGGCCAAGACAGUUUCCCAGAUGCUGAAGAGAACAAGAUAUUGAAAGAAUCUGAUGAAAGGUUCAGUAAUGUUAUCAGAGCCCACACCCGCCUGGAAUCAAGAUACAGCAAUAGCUCUGGAGGAUCAUAUGAUGAGGAUAAAAAUGACCCCAUCUCUCCCUACACGGGCUGGUUGUUGACGAUUACAGAGACCAAACAGCCGCAACCCUUACCAAUGCCCUGUACUGGAGGGUGCUGGGCCCCCCUGGUUGACUAUCUGCCAGAGACCAUCACACCUCGGGGGCCACUCCACAGGUGCAAUAUUGCUGUGAUCUUUAUGACGGAGAUGGUGGUGGAUCACAGUGUAAGAGAAGACUGGGCUCUGCAUCUACCCUUGUUACUUCAUGCUGUCUUCUUAGGUUUGGACCAUUACCGGCCUGAAGUCUUUGAACACAGCAAAAAGUUGCUCCUUCACCUCCUGAUUGCCCUGUCUUGCAACAGCAGCUUCCAUACUAUCGCCUCGGUACUCUUGCAGACCCGGGAGAUGAGUGAAGCGAAGACUCUAACCGUCCAGCCAGCUUAUCAACCAGAAUAUCUCUACACAGGUGGCUUCGACUUCCUGAGAGAGGACCAGUCCUCCCCAGUGCCAGACUCAGGGCUGAGCUCCAGUUCCACCUCCUCCAGUAUUAGCCUGGGAGGCAGCAGUGGGAACCUCCCGCAGAUGACCCAGGAGGUGGAAGAUGUGGACACAGCCGCCGAGACAGAUGAGAAGGCCAACAAGCUCAUUGAGUUUCUCACAACCAGGGCAUUUGGUCCGCUUUGGUGCCAUGAAGACAUCACACCCAAAAAUCAAAAUUCAAAGAGUGCUGAACAACUGACUAAUUUUCUACGUCAUGUUGUGUCUGUGUUUAAAGAUUCCAAAUCAGGUUUCCAUCUAGAGCAACACUUGAGUGAAGUUGCCCUGCAGACAGCCCUGGCCAGCUCUUCGAGGCACUACGCCGGUCGGUCCUUCCAGAUAUUCCGGGCUCUCAGGCAACCACUGUCAGCACACGCCCUGUCUGACCUCCUGUCGAGACUGGUAGAGGUGAUUGGGGAGCACGGAGACGAGAUUCAGGGUUACGUAAUGGAAGCACUCCUGACCUUGGAAGCUGCUGUGGACAACUUGUCUGACUGCCUGAAGAACAGUGAUCUCUUAACCGUAUUAUCUCGCUCUUCAUCACCAGAUUUAAGCUCGAGCACCAAACUAACAGCAAGCCGAAAAAGCACAGGGCAACUAAAUGUGAACCCUGGAGCUGCCAGUGGCAAUACCACAACAGCAGAGAGGAGCCGCCAUCAAAGAAGCUUCUCUGUGCCCAAGAAGUUUGGUGUUGUUGACCGAUCCUCGGACCCACCUCGAAGUGCUACCCUAGACAGAAUUCAGGCGUGUACCCAGCAGGGCCUCUCCUCCAAAACCAGAAGCUCCUCCUCCUUGAAGGACAGUCUCACAGACCCAUCCCACAUAAACCAUCCGACCAAUCUGUUGGCCACCAUCUUCUGGGUUACGGUGGCCUUGAUGGAGUCUGACUUUGAGUUCGAGUACCUGAUGGCCUUACGGCUGCUGAAUCGACUGUUGGCUCAUAUGCCACUGGAUAAAGCUGAGAACCGAGAGAAACUUGAGAAACUCCAGGCACAGCUCAAGUGGGCUGACUUCUCAGGGUUGCAGCAGCUGCUGCUGAAGGGAUUCACAUCCCUUACCACCACUGACCUUACCCUGCAGCUUUUCAGCUUGCUGACACCAGUGUCCAAAGUAUCCAUGGUGGAUUCAUCACAAGCUAUUGGGUUUCCACUGAAUGUCUUGUGUCUCCUGCCCCAGCUGAUCCAGCAUUUUGAAAAUCCAAAUCAGUUCUGUAAGGACAUAGCUGAAAGGAUCGCUCAGGUUUGUUUGGAAGAGAAAAACCCUAAACUUUCUAACCUUGCCCACGUUAUGACGCUUUAUAAAACACACAGUUACACAAGGGACUGUGCCACAUGGGUCAACGUGGUGUGCCGAUACCUUCAUGAAGCCUAUGCGGACAUUACCUUGAACAUGGUUACCUACCUGGCAGAGUUGCUGGAAAAAGGUCUUCCCAGUAUGCAGCAGCCCCUCCUCCAAGUCAUCUACAGUCUGCUCAGCUACAUGGACCUUUCUGUCGUUCCUGUCAAGCAGUUUAACGUGGAAGUUCUGAAGACCAUUGAAAAAUACGUGCAGAGCGUUCACUGGAGAGAAGCUUUGAACAUCCUGAAGCUGGUUGUUUCUCGGUCAGCCAGCCUCGCACUGCCUUCCUACCAGCACGGCGACCUCUCCAAGAUAGAAAUACAUCGAGUGUGGACCAGUGCUUCUAAGGAAUUGCCUGGGAAAACCCUGGACUUUCACUUCGAUAUUUCAGAGACGCCGAUCAUUGGGAGGCGAUAUGACGAACUACAGAAUUCUGCGGGGCGUGAUGGGAAACCCAGGACCAUGACGGUCACCCGAAGUGCAUCCUCCACUUCGUCAGGCUCCAACUCCAAUGUUCUUGUUCCUGUGAGCUGGAAAAGGCCCCAGUAUUCUCAGAAGAGGACAAAAGAGAAGCUGGUGCACGUCCUUUCUCUGUGUGGCCAAGAAGUAGGGUUAAGCAAAAACCCAUCUGUGAUUUUUUCCUCGUGUGGGGACCUGGAUCUGCUGGAGCAUCAGACGAGCCUGGUGUCUUCUGAGGACGGCACCCGGGAGCAGGAGAACAUGGAUGACGCAAACAGCGAGCAGCAGUUCAGAGUCUUCAGGGACUUUGAUUUCCUAGACGUGGAGCUGGAGGAUGGAGAGGGUGAGAGUAUGGACAAUUUCAACUGGGGAGUGCGCAGACGUUCCCUGGACAGCCUGGACAAGUGUGACAUGCAGAUCCUGGAGGAGCGCCAGCUCUCAGGAAGUCCUCCCAGCCUAGAUAAAAUGAACCAUGAGGAUUCCGAUGAAUCAUCUGAGGAGGAGGACCUCACAGCCAGCCAGAUCCUGGAGCACUCCGACCUAAUCAUGACCCUCUCCCCUUCAGAGGAGGCCAGUCCCAUGGAACUGCUCACCACAGUCUGCGACUCAGCCCCCGCUGACCCUCGUUCCUUUAACACCAGAAUGGCCAGCUUGGACACUUCACUGCCUGAUAUGAAUAAUCUGCAGAUUUCUGAGGGUUCAAAGGCUGAAGCCGUCCAGGAGGAGGAAGACACUACCGUGCAUGAGGAUGACCUUUCAAGUUCCAUCAAUGAGCUCCCAGCAGCUUUCGAAUGCAGUGACAGCUUCAGUCUAGAUAUGACUGAGGCAGAGGAGAAAGGCAACCAAGGCCUGGACCAGUUUACCCUUGCAAGCUUCGGAGAAGGUGACAGAAGCGUCUCUCCCCCUCCCUCGCCUUUCUUCUCCGCCAUCCUUGCUGCCUUUCAGCCUGCAGCCUGCGAUGACGCCGAGGAGGCCUGGCGCAGCCACAUCAACCAGCUCAUGUGUGACUCGGACGGCUCCUGUGCGGUGUACACAUUUCAUGUGUUCUCCUCUCUGUUUAAGAAUAUUCAGAAGAGGUUCUGCUUCCUGACCUGUGAUGCCGCCAGUUACCUCGGAGAUAACCUCCGGGGAAUUGGAUCCAAAUUCGUUAGCUCCUCCCAGAUGCUCACCUCCUGCUCGGAAUGUCCGACACUGUUUGUGGAUGCGGAGACUCUCCUUUCGUGUGGACUUCUGGACAAGCUCAAGUUCAGCGUCUUAGAACUGCAAGAAUAUUUGGAUACCUACAACAAUAGAAAAGAGGCCACCCUCUCGUGGCUUGCAAAUUGUAAGGCAACAUUUGCAGGAGGAUCCAGAGAUGGAGUAAUUACCUGUCAGCCUGGGGACUCAGAAGAAAAGCAACUAGAACUGUGUCAGAGGUUGUAUAAACUGCACUUCCAGCUGCUGUUGCUUUUUCAGUCCUACUGUAAGCUCAUCGGCCAGGUGCACGAAGUGAGCUCCAUGCCAGAGCUGCUGAAUAUGUCCAGAGAACUGAGCGACCUGAAGAGAAACCUGAAGGAGGCCACGGCAGCCAUCGCCGCGGACGCCCCUUACGCAGAGGGCGCGUGGUCCGAGCCCACCUUCACGUCCACCGAGGCAGCCAUCCAGUCCAUGCUGGAGUGCCUGAAGAACAACGAGCUCGGCACAGCCUUGCGGCAAAUCAGGGAAUGCAGAAGUCUGUGGCCCAAUGACAUCUUUGGAAGCAGUUCUGACGAUGAGGUCCAGACACUACUGAACAUUUAUUUCCGUCACCAAACGCUGGGACAGACAGGUACUUAUGCACUGGUGGGAUCUAACCAGAGUCUGACCGAAAUCUGCACCAAGCUGAUGGAGCUGAACAUGGAAAUCCGGGACAUGAUCCGCAGGGCGCAGAGUUACCGAGUCCUCACUGCGUUCCUCCCAGACUCCAGUGUUUCCGGCACUAGUCUCUGACAGGAGCCUCCCGUGCCCCCUGGCUUCCAAGCUGGGGGUGCUGCCGUGCUGGGGCAGUGUCAUUCAGUGUCUUCUCAGCCUUCAGAAGGCUUGGACAGACUGUUCUCCCUCUUGUUACCUGCAGGACUUUUUCUAAAGAGGGUGACAGAGCUUCCAACGUGUAGCAAUACUUUACGAACCAAGGCAGCAAAGGACAUCCUGAGACAGACUCCCCGCAUCACGCUGUGGGGCACAAACACGCUACCCACUUCCUGAGCAAAUGCAACCCACUACUGGAGCACUGACUUCCAUGGCAUACCAAAGCGGCGACACUGAACAAUUCCUUCCUCCCUAGAAGCAGUUUUAGAGUAGCAGAAGUGCGGUGUUUUCUUCACUUCCGAGAUUUUUAUAUUCUACACCUUGUACAUUUGUCCCCUUUCCUCCCCUCCCCCCUUGGUUCUGUUUUGUUUGUUUUGUUUUUGGUGAGAUGAGAAAAGGACAGGCAGAAUGAAGCUGGCCACUGAGAAACUGAACGACGGUCCAACGCUGACAGCCUGCGUGUCUCAAAGGGACUUGGGAAUGGACUGCAAUGUAAUGGACACUGUUAUUUGAAUACAAUUACUGUACCUAAAAGGAGCUGCUAUGAAGUACUUUUCUUAUGUUGCUAGGCUACUGUUUUUGAAGGCCUGGAUCUCUUUGCACCAAAACUGAUCCAGAUAGACUCUUUUUAAGGAUCUUGGCUGCUUUUUACUAGAAGGUUGCUUUUAUGAACAUAUUUAUACUACAGAAGGAUAAAUGUUAAUUUUAAUUAACUUUGCCAUUUUAUAGAGAAAAUUUAUUCACAUAAAUUCCAAGUCUUUUCACCUCUCACGCAUGCAUAUGUUAACAUCCAUUCGGAUAGGCAGAAAUAGAAUCAUAAAGAUAUGAAUUGUCACUUUGUUUCUGAAGAAUAAUGUAUUUUAUUUGUAAUAUAUAUGUAAAGGGCCAUUCUUAAGUUUCCUCCGUAAACUUAAUGCUGUCAAAGUGUUAGAUGUGUGCAUGUGAAUCUGUUACACAUCAGAGACGUUCAAAGUUUAUCUACGUAACUUAUUCACGCUGUAUAUACAUUUAAAGUUUUGUGAUGUAAUCCUGACUGAUACUCUGUUCAGAACUUUCUUUAGACAAAAAAAAAAAAAGCAAGGACAAAAUACACGAUGACCGUGGAUUUUAUUUCUGGUUAACGAGAAUGUCUGUGGGCCGCCAGAGUGAUAAGCCCAAGGGACACCAUUCAUCACACGGAGUCACCAAGCGGCCCCCACCGGGCCGUGCGGCACAUGGCAUCGAAGUCAGAGGAAGCAAAGUCACUUUGGAAGCAGAGCUUAAGAAACAAACCAAAAAAAACCUUCCACAAGUUCUCUCUGAAAUCAAUCAAAGAGAAAAAUCAGAAAAGAAAGAGGGCUCUCACGGUCCAUAACCUAGGUGACCAUCCUUAAAAUUUUGAAAUAUACUGUGUAUUGAGCAGGAAAAAAGUAAGAAAACCUUCAUUCUGUCACCAGUUACCCUACUAGAAAAAAACAGGGCCACAGAUCCACACAGCAGUCUAACCUACAACAUCUUCCUACUCGUAUUUGACUUGGACUAGCAAAUAGAACCUGUUUUACUAGCACGCCAGUACUGACUCAUUAGUUGUUAUUUCCUAAGAGUAUCCUGCAGGAGGGAGUCCAGCCCAAAAUUUUGUUGUUGUUGCCACUCUAUUUUAACAACUUCCGGAACUGCUGGAAACAUAUUCUUUUGAUAAGUUAACAUUUUCAGCUAGAAGACAAUUGGCUGUGGUUUAUAGAAAAUUGAAUUAUGAUCACCCUGAAAAAUACCUCCUACGAUACAGGGCUCUGUCGGUAACCAGAGUGGCCACCCUAGAGAGUUUUGUUGGGAGCCGCCACGGAAAGGUCUGACUAGUCACAACGGAAAGGUCCGACUGGUCAUGCCUGAGUUGGCUACUGUACCCUCUUAUCCAGCAAAGAACCCCAGCACGCUUUACUCUUUCAAAGAUAAAGGCCGUCAGCCACACGCUGAGUUCUGCCACGUUGGACUGUAAUCAUAGGAAGUAGGAGAGUUUGUCUUUUUAAAAAAAUGUUAUUUAGAAACAAUAAUUUGGGCAAUGCAAUUCCCAUGUCGUUUCACCUUCUCUCCCUUGAGUGGAGUGGGGAGAAUUUGUGUCAGAAAGGAGCGCCGCUCCAGCUGGGCCCAGCAGUGGUUGUGGAGCCUUGGGUCAUAUCACCUUGGCUGUGUGCUGUGCUCUGUUAGAGUAUUUCCACUGCCUUCCCCAGGGCUACAGAGAGGUUGGGGUACUGAGGAGAAGGCGGGUCAGGGUGAGAGAAAUGCCUUGUCCUGUCUCAGUGCUUUCUAGAGCCAAG